AGGUUCUCUUAUUUCCCAACGUGUGCGUAUCCAUAAUGGUUAAUCUCUAUUAUUUUCUUGAUCCUUAAGAACGACGUAAAGUGCUCUUGGUCCCCAACAAUGACUUGUUUCAAUGAUCGUGAAACUCCAUACACUUGCCUUGAUAUUAUGGAAACCAAACCAGAUUCACAUGUAAAACCCCUCACUUUGAAAGUUCAUCCUCCGGUGCUUGGCUCCUUCCAGCUUGUAAGAAAUUCGUUGGAAACUUCCUUCCAUCUCACAGAAUGGUCAACG
rnacentral:lncRNA from 1 species